UACGUAGGGACCUAGCGUUGUCCGGAAUCAUUGGGCGUAAAGCGCGCGUAGGCGGCCCGGUAAGUCCGUUGUAAAAGUCGAAGGCUCAACCUUCGAAAGCCGAUGGAUACUGCCGGGCUAGAGUCCGGAAGAGGCGAGUAGAAUUCCUGGUGUAGCGGUGGAAUGCGCAGAUAUCAGGAGGAAUACCCAUAGCGAAGGCAGCUCGCUGGGACGGUACUGACGCUGAGGCGCGAAAGCUAGGGGAGCAAACAGG
rnacentral:rRNA from 1 species